rnacentral:rRNA from 1 species
GAUGAACGCUGGCGGCGUGCCUAAUACAUGCAAGUCGAGCGAACAGACGAGGAGCUUGCUCCUCUGACGUUAGCAGCGGACGGGUGAGUAACACGUGGAUAACCUACCUAUAAGACUGGGAUAACUUCGGGAAACCGGAGCUAAUACCGGAUAAUAUAUUGAACCGCAUGGUUCAAUAGUGAAAGACGGUUUUGCUGUCACUUAUAGAUGGAUCCGCGCCGCAUUAGCUAGUUGGUAAGGUAACGGCUUACCAAGGCAACGAUGCGUAGCCGACCUGAGAGGGUGAUCGGCCACACUGGAACUGAGACACGGUCCAGACUCCUACGGGAGGCAGCAGUAGGGAAUCUUCCGCAAUGGGCGAAAGCCUGACGGAGCAACGCCGCGUGAGUGAUGAAGGUCUUCGGAUCGUAAAACUCUGUUAUUAGGGAAGAACAAAUGUGUAAGUAACUAUGCACGUCUUGACGGUACCUAAUCAGAAAGCCACGGCUAACUACGUG